rnacentral:rRNA from 1 species
CCUACGGGGGGCAGCAGUGAGGAAUUUUCCGCAAUGGGCGCAAGCCUGACGGAGUCAUACCGCGUGCGGGACGACGCUCUAGGGAGUGUAAACCGCUUUUGAUUGGGAAGAACACAAUGACGGUACCAAUCGAAUCAGCCUCGGCUAACUCCGUGCCAGCAGCCGCGGUAAUACGGAGGAGGCAAGCGUUAUCCGGAAUCAUUGGGCGUAAAGCGUCCGUAGGUGGCGAUUCAAGUCUGCUGUUAAAGCCCGAGGCUCAACCUCGGAUCGGCAGUGGAAACUGGAUGGCUUGAGCACAGUAGGGGCAGCGGGAAUUCCCAGAGUAGCGGUGAAAUGCGUAGAGUUUGGGAAGAACACCGAUGGCGAAAGCACGCUGCUGGGCUGUGGCUGACACUGAGGGACGAAAGCUAGGGGAGCGAAACGGAUUAGAUACCCUAGUA